CAAGUCUGGUGCCAGCAGCCGCGGUAAUUCUAG
rnacentral:rRNA from 1 species